rnacentral:sRNA from 1 species
AGUGCGCCAGGAGCUUUAUUUAGUGGCGCUGAAACCCCACGGCCUGGAUCAGGACUCCUAAGCCGGUGUCCUUACCGAAAGAGGAGGACAAAAUCUUGUGAGCAGGCUCUGCCCUCCGGGAAAAGAGCCA